CAUUAUUAAGGGUAGGUUGUGUUCAGAAACUUUAUUGUUAGGUAGUGCUCACGUAAGGUAGUACUAGCAAGUCUGGAAACUGUUAGCUUCACUAGACAACAGUAAGCCAUUAUGUUACACUAAGAACAGACUGAAACACUGAUGGCAUAAUGGGGCCACAGGGAGGGUGAACAGAUAACAGGACAUUGAAACCGUGUUAGAUUGCACGUAGCUCAUACUGAGGUAACUGAAUCUUAUCUCUUCUGGAACCAAUACUAUUAGAGAAUACCGCUUCUUACCAAAUAAGGAUGUAGCACUGGGAUGUGAGGGGCUAAAAGCUAGACAAAGAGAACAAUAGAUCAGAACGCCUUCUCCAGCUGGACAAAUGUCUAGCUGUAACCGAUUCUCUCUCGAAUAAAGCAGUCUGUUUCUUAGAAUCUGACCCGGUGUCUCAUUCCUCCGAAAAAGAACACGGGGACGGUUGAACCGUCUUAACAGAUGGUGACCCCUGACGUGCGGAGGGAACGGAGACACGCUUGUUGGCAGGGGUUGAGAGCCGCCGGGCGGCCGGCCAUUCUGAACUGGGUACGGGGACGCCUUUUGUAUAAAGGUCUCCAGUAGGCAUUGACCACUCUAAAUUAGUAGUUGUUCCGACGUCUCGAAUACCUUCGCCAACCUAAAUUGCAGACGUGAGUAGACGACAGAGAAUCGCUUGAUCUAAGUGUAAGCCCUUUAGGUGUGUUGGGCAUCCCGGAUAAGCCGGAGGUAUUGGACACGGUGAGUUCUUUUUAUUUGUUGUUUCUGUAGUAAGAAGAGUAAGUUCCCCAGGUGUGCGUGGAAAGAUCUCUGCAAUUUCAAAAGUCCUGGGUACGGUGAGUUAUUUAUUUUUGGUCUCUUAAGUUUAUAAAAGUGAAUCCUCUAGGUGUGCGUUAAAACAGCCUUGCAAUUUGAAAGUCCUAGAGUGGAUGAAUUCUCCAGGUGUGCGUGGGAAGAUCUCUGCAAUUUCAAAAGUCCUGGGGACAGUGAGUUAUUUAUUUUUGGUCUCUUAAGUUUAUAAAAGUGAAUCCUCUAGGUGUGCGUUAAAACAGCCCUGCAAUUUGAAAGUCCUAGGGUGGAUGAAUUCUCCAGGUGUGCGUUAAAACAUCCCUGCAAUUUAAAAUUCCUGGAGACGGUGAGGCAUAUGUUUGUAGCCUCCUAUUGUUAGACAAGGGAACCGUCUAGGUGUGCUUUGGAACAUCACUGCAGAUUGAAAGUCCUAGAAUCGGUGAGUACUAUUCUUUCAUUCGUUUUCUCUCCUGGUGGUGAGUCGGUGAUUUCUCCAGGUGUGCGUGGAAACAGCUCUGCAAUUUCAAAAUCCUGGAGGUAGGAGGCGAGGCGAUUGUGGCUUACGGACCGCACGGCUCCCGGAACGGGAGUUUGGUCGGGGGAUAGUGUAAGACACGGGUACUGGGGUUACGGGAGUAUAAACCCACGCGCUGACGGACUUGGGGACUGGGAAGCUUCCACUGCGCUGACAUAAUAACGGACGCAACGGUACGAGGGGACAGAGAAAGACAGAGUUCCGGACAGAGCGACUGUGUGUGUGUGAGAGGGAGUCUGUUUAUGAGAAAGAUAGAGUCUCUGGGUGUGUAAAAAUCUGUGUGUGUAUAAGUAUUUCUGUGUUUGUAAAAGUCUGUAUUGUUGCCCAAAGAGAGAGAAAAAGCUAUUGCUGCGUGCGUCAGCGGUGUGUCUGUGUAAGAGAGAGAGACUGGCUGAAAGCUUCUCUGCUAACAGGCAGUUUAACACUUUGUGCUCUGGCUUGAGUUCAUCUGUUUGAUAGUGAUUGAAUGUUUAAGUCUUGUCACCUAGGGCGAUGCUUGUGACACAUACGAUCGACCAUGCCCUGACGGGAAAGGAUAACCCCCCACCCGCAUACCAGGCAGCGGGGCUGGAGGAGCCUGUGAUGGGGGCACCCGAUGGAAAGAUUACGGGAUCGGUAUCAGAGGGAAUGGAGGAGAUAUGCCUGCGAGGGAAGCACGGGACAACUUAUGAUUUUACUUUAUAACUGUAUCUCUCAUUUCUAAUCCUUCCCAUAUUAGGGCCUCAGAAUGUGAGGGCUGAGGUGCAGAGACCCCCUAGUAGUGUAUUUUUUCUCUCUCUUUCCCGUUCAAAUUGACAACAGGUAAAUUUGUGCUUUUAUGCUGCAGUUAGAGAUUGUGAAGUGCUAUAUGCCUCGAGACUCAAGAGACUAUUGUUCACUCAAGAGAUUUCCUAGCCAUCAUUUGGUAUUCCUAAAUGGCUUCGAUUGGUCUCGACGGCCACUGUUCACAAUAAUAAGCCAGUUACCACUGCCCGUGUCCGUACUUGACAGCUGUAAAAUGGAUGUGGGUUUUUAUUGGUCAAGUGAAGGUGACUGGUUAGCCAAUGACGGGUAAGAUUCCUCGAGUGAGGGACAACCUAAGACAGGCACAGUCGUGCAUUGACCUUCAGAAUAAUGGCCUGUGGUCAUGUGGUUUUAGCAGAUGCCUGGCUUUUGUAUCCGUGUCGGGAAUCUGGUCAAGUUUCUGGCUUGCAAAGCAGCUUGAUAUAAGGAAAAUCGUGUGCCCAGCAGUUUGACAUUGUAUUCACUGUAUUUUUGACGAAGGAAAAUGCCAGUUUUGUGUCAUUUUCCAGAACCGACUUAACAACAACCCUUGAGGAAGGAAGGAGAGCUCAUUGAAUCCUAUUGCAAAAAGAUUUGACACUAUGUCAGUAGUUUGAAAUUUUAUUUUAAGGUGUCAUAGUAUAAUACGACCGACUUUACUGGGAGGUUGUACAAUUGGGUGUUCUUUGAACAGCAGAGCUUCAUUCUGCAGGUGUCCUAACUCAUCCACUUUGUGUUUUCCUCUGGUUCUCUUAGCUUUUGUUAUCAUACUCAGUAAUCGUUUUGUUGGUUUUGAGGUGGCUUUUUGUAUAUGUUUACAACUUUUAAGUGCUUACAUCUGUUAUGUAUUAUUUCACUGCUUCUUGUGCCUUAACGAUUGUAUGCGAACUGGAGAGGCGCAUAGAGUAGGGAUUUUGCAUCGCGGAAUGCUUUCUGUAGUUGUAUGCUGCUUAGGGACUCCUCUCCACUAUAACUAUGUCUCCCUAGAGUCAGACAAGCCCGGUUGAGCCAAUUGGUCGGCCUUGCAGAGGAGCGAUGGAGGGGCGCUCACCGACCAUCCGGGUCCUGACUGCUGCGCGCGAACUGCUGUAUUUUGUGUGGCCUCUUUCGAGGCCAAGGGAGGGAGUGUUAGGAAGCAUUAUUAAGGGUAGGUUGUGUUCAGAAACUUUAUUGUUAGGUAGUGCUCACGUAAGGUAGUACUAGCAAGUCUGGAAACUGUUAGCUUCACUAGACAACAGUAAGCCAUUAUGUUACACUAAGAACAGACUGAAACACUGAUGGCAUAAUGGGGCCACAGGGAGGGUGAACAGAUAACAGGACAUUGAAACCGUGUUAGAUUGCACGUAGCUCAUACUGAGGUAACUGAAUCUUAUCUCUUCUGGAACCAAUACUAUUAGAGAAUACCGCUUCUUACCAAAUAAGGAUGUAGCACUGGGAUGUGAGGGGCUAAAAGCUAGACAAAGAGAACAAUAGAUCAGAACGCCUUCUCCAGCUGGACAAAUGUCUAGCUGUAACCGAUUCUCUCUCGAAUAAAGCAGUCUGUUUCUUAGAA